UACAGAGGGUGCGAGCGUUAAUCGGAAUUACUGGGCGUAAAGCGUGCGCAGGCGGUUUUGUAAGUCUGUCGUGAAAUCCCCCGGGCUCAACCUGGGAAUUGCGAUGGAGACUGCAAGGCUAGAAUCUGGCAGAGGGGGGGUAGAAUUCCACGUGUAGCAGUGAAAUGCGUAGAGAUGUGGAGGAACACCGAUGGCGAAGGCAGCCCCCUGGGUCAAGAUUGACGCUCAUGCACGAAAGGCGUGGGGAGCAAAACGAGGAUUAGACGU
rnacentral:rRNA from 1 species